GACAGAGGGUGCAAACGUUGUUCGGAAUUACUGGGCGUAAAGCGUGUGUAGGCGGCUAGGUAAGUCGGAUGUGAAAGCCCCGGGCUCAACUCGGGAAGUGCACUCGAUACUGCUUAGCUCGAGUACCGGAGAGGUUGGUGGAAUUCUCGGUGUAGAGGUGAAAUUCGUAGAUAUCGAGAAGAACACCGGUGGCGAAGGCGGCCAACUGGACGGUGACUGACACUGAGACGCGAAAGCGUGGGGAGCAAACAGG
rnacentral:rRNA from 1 species